rnacentral:rRNA from 1 species
GAUGAACGCUAGCGGCGUGCCUAACACAUGCAAGUCGAACGUGAGAGGGUACUUGUAUCCUUGAAAGUGGCGGACGGGUGAGUAAGACGUAGGUGACCUGCCUUGAAGUGGGGGAUAACCAUUGGAAACGAUGGCUAAUACCGCAUAAGCUGGUGACGAUGGGAAUCGUUAUCAGGAAAGCUUUAGUGCUUUGAGAGGGGCCUACGGCCGAUUAGCUAGUUGGUGAGGUAAAGGCUCACCAAGGCGAUGAUCGGUAGCUGGUCUGAGAGGACGAUCAGCCACACGGGAACUGAGACACGGUCCCGACUCCUACGGGGGGCAGCAGUGAGGAAUAUUCGGCAAUGGGGGCAACCCUGACCGAGCAACGCCGCGUGGAGGAUGACGGUUUUCGGAUUGUAAACUCCUUUUCUCAGGGAAGAGCGAGGACGGUACCUGGGGAAUAAGUCACGGCUAACUACGUG